GACGAACGCUGGCGGCGUGCUUAACACAUGCAAGUCGAACGGAAAGGCCCCUUUGGGGGUACUCGAGUGGCGAACGGGUGAGUAACACGUGAGUAACCUGCCCUUGACUUCGGGAUAACUUCAGGAAACUGGGGCUAAUACCGGAUAGGAAUCCUUGCUGCAUGGUGGGGGUUGGAAAGCUUCGGCGGUUUUGGAUGGACUCGCGGCUUAUCAGCUUGUUGGUGGGGUAGUGGCUUACCAAGGCUUUGACGGGUAGCCGGCCUGAGAGGGCGACCGGCCACAUUGGGACUGAGAUACGGCCCAGACUCCUACGGGAGGCAGCAGUGGGGAAUAUUGCACAAUGGGCGGAAGCCUGACGCAGCAACGCCGCGUGCGGGAUGACGGCCUUCGGGUUGUAAACCGCUUUCAGCAGGGGCGAAGCUUUUGUGACGGUACCUGCAGAAGAAGCACCGGCUAACUACGUG
rnacentral:rRNA from 1 species